AUUGAACGCUGGCGGCGUGCCUAAUACAUGCAAGUCGAACGCACAGCGAAAGGUGCUUGCACCUUUCAAGUGAGUGGCGAACGGGUGAGUAACACGUGGACAACCUGCCUCAAGGCUGGGGAUAACAUUUGGAAACAGAUGCUAAUACCGAAUGAAACUUAGUGUCGCAUGAUACGAAGUUAAAAGGCGCUUUGGCGUCACCUAGAGAUGGAUCCGCGGUGCAUUAGUUAGUUGGUGGGGUAAAGGCCUACCAAGACAAUGAUGCAUAGCCGAGUUGAGAGACUGAUCGGCCACAUUGGGACUGAGACACGGCCCAAACUCCUACGGGAGGCUGCAGUAGGGAAUCUUCCACAAUGGGCGAAAGCCUGAUGGAGCAACGCCGCGUGUGUGAUGAAGGCUUUCGGGUCGUAAAGCACUGUUGUAUGGGAAGAACAGCUAGAAUAGGGAAUGAUUUUAGUUUGACGGUACCAUACCAGAAAGGGACGGCUAAAUACGUGCCAGCAGCCGCCGUAA
rnacentral:rRNA from 1 species